CUAUGCGCCUUGCCAGCCCGCUCAGAAACUUCAAGGAAUUGACGGGGGCCCCGCACAAGCGGAGGAACAUGUGGUUUAAUUCGAUGAUACGCGAGGAACCUUACCUGGGCUUAAAUGGGGAGUGACAGCUGUCGAAAGAUGGUUUUCUUCGGACACUCUUCAAGGUGCUGCAUGGUUGUCGUCAGCUCGUGCCGUGAGGUGUCGGGUUAAGUCCCAUAACGAGCGCAACCCUUACCGUUAGUUACCAUCAGGUUAAGCUGGGGACUCUAGCGGGACUGCCACCGUAAGGUGAGAGGAAGGUGGGGAUGACGUCAAAUCAGCACGGCCCUUAUGUCCAGGGCUACACACGUGUUACAAUGGCCAGUACAAAGGGCAGCUACCGGGUGACCGGAUGCUAAUCUCUAAAGCUGGUCUCAGUUCGGAUCGAAGUCUGCAACCCGACUUCGUGAAGCUGGAUUCGCUAGUAAUCGCGCAUCAGCCAUGGCGUGGUGAAUACGUUCCCGGGCCUU
rnacentral:rRNA from 1 species